rnacentral:lncRNA from 1 species
UUCAGCUUCAAAGGUGGGGCUUCGCCAGGGACCCGCCUCUAGAAUUUCUCUGCCUCCUGCCUCUGUCAUUAUGUCAAAACCACCAUGCUAUAUUCUUACUCUUCCUCUUGUUUGCUAAUAGUAAGUUGUCAGAAAAACUUUUGUCAUUACCAGUUUCCUUAUGAAGGGGAUAACUGGUUAAGAUUUCCAGGAGUGCAAGCGAUCCUCCUGCCUCAGCCUCCCAAUGUGGGAUUAUAGGCGUGAGCCACUGUGCCCAGAUUGGGUGAUGUUUGAAACCUAUUAUUGCACAUGAGAUUUGUUGUUUGUGCUACUUAAUAUGAUUUUGCAAUAGUUACCUUUACCAUUUUCACAUUGGUUCCUGUAACACUCUCCACAAAAGACUAAUGUAUUUUCCACGUUCACUGAGCGCUUUCUGUGGAUACACUGACUUUAGUCCCUAUUUUUUCUCCAGGGUCAUCUAGUAGCAGGCACCCAAAUCAGGCAACUCCAAAGAAAAGUGGUUUAAAGAAUGG